GAUGAACGCUGGCGGCGUGCUUAACACAUGCAAGUCGAGCGAGUGAGUUCUUCGGAACGAUCUAGCGGCGGACGGGUGAGUAACACGUGGGCAACCUGCCUCAUAGAGGGGAAUAGCCUCCCGAAAGGGAGAUUAAUACCGCAUAAAAUUAUCGAGUGGCAUCACAUGAUAAUCAAAGGAGUAAUCCGCUAUGAGAUGGGCCCGCGGCGCAUUAGCUAGUUGGUGAGGUAACGGCUCACCAAGGCGACGAUGCGUAGCCGACCUGAGAGGGAGAUCGGCCACAUUGGGACUGAGACACGGUCCAGACUCCUACGGGAGGCAGCAGAGGGGAAUAUUGCACAAUGGGGGAAACCCUGAUGCAGCAACGCCGCGUGAGUGAUGAAGGUCUUCGGAUUGUAAAGCUCUGUCUUUGGGGACGAUAAUGACGGUACCCAAGGAGGAAGCCACGGCUAACUACGUGCCAGCCGCCGCGGUAA
rnacentral:rRNA from 1 species